CGCACGGGUGAGUAGCGCGUGGGAACCUGCCCUGUUGUGGGGAUAACCGAGGGAAACUUCGGCUAAUACCGCAUACGCCGGGGGUCUUGAGAGAGGCUUUCGGGAAAGAUUUAUCGCAAUAGGAGGGGCCCGCGUCGGAUUAGCUAGUUGGUGGGGUAACGGCCUACCAAGGCAGUGAUCCGUAGCUGGUCUGAGAGGAUGAUCAGCCACACUGGGACUGAGACACGGCCCAG
rnacentral:rRNA from 1 species